GGACAUUCCUAAACAAAGGGGCUGCUUGGGUUGACGUAUUGUGGGGGGUGGGGGGUGAGGACAGCUGCAUUUCAUCCUAGGUUCUUUUAAAAAAUGUUUUAAUAACAUGAUUAUUUGUAAAAACUCCCCCGAAAAAACGAUUUUAAGAGUGUUUUGGGAAGUGCAGCUGGAUAAAUGAAAGACGUUAAUGUCACUGUUGUUUGUGCUUUGUUUACAUUGGCAGUGAGUGUCAGAAUCUACCUAGAGCACAUCUUGCCACUUUUGUCCACAGGAGUCACUACUAAUCAUCAUAACUGAUGUCUAGUGUGAAAGUGAAGCUUGGAAUGUAAACAGAGUCCGAGUGUGUGUUGGCAUGUGACUGGAUUCACUCCUGCAUGUUGCUAGAAGGGAAUUUGGGGCUGUAUAGGAAAUAGCAAGAGGUGAUGAAGACACCUUUUAUUAUCUAUUUAUUGCCAUGUCGCUGGUAGUAUUUAGUUCCACACACAUUGUAUUUCACAAGAUGAGUCUCAUCCGUCUUCCUUUUUCAACUUUCUCCUACCAGUGAAAAAAUAAGCCAGGGCAGUUCUGAUGACUUCACAUUUCAUUGGUAUUUGUUUUUCAUGGGCAGUUUCAUGCUGUCACGUUGCCCUUCAGAGAAUCAGGGAAUGCCUUCGUAGAAUAUUAACGACAAAUUGUUGAAUUUGCACAGCUUGUUUUGUCUCCCUGAAUUAGUAUGUGUAAGAAAAACCAAUGGAAGAUUUUAGCAGGCUCUGAAAGUAGAAUGCCCGCUGAAGCAAACGGCAGGGUUGUUCUUCCAAGGCGUAUUAAAUAUGGGUACACUUAGUUUGCAGACUUGGUGUGCUGCAGAAUAUCACAUAUGAAGAUAUUUUGACCGCUAUUUAGAAGAGUGACCUCAUAAAUCUUUUAGCAAAGUAGACACACAUACCUACCACAUUUCUUAAAAGUAGAUUCGUAUUUUGAUUUGAGAUUGUUGAAAAGCAUGGUAUGUUUGGAGUGCACUUAGUUAUGUCCCAUCUCAUAAAGACUGUUGAGCUCUCUGCACUGCUGAUGAUGAAGCAUUGCAUGAACCCAGAAAACGGGGAUGCCAAAGCACAGGGCUUAGGUGCUGUUCCUUGCGUCAUCAGCAGAGGUCUGUCCACUUUGUAGAAGGGAGAGUCCCGUAUUCUCAGAGUAAAAGUUGUUUCUGGAAUUGAUCUCGCCAAAAAGGACAUCUUUGGAGCCAGUGAUCCGUAUGUGAAACUUUCAUUGUACGUAGCGGAUGAGAAUAGAGAACUUGCUUUGGUCCAGACAAAAACAAUUAAAAAG
rnacentral:sRNA from 1 species